rnacentral:rRNA from 1 species
AGCGAACGCUGGCGGCAGGCUUAACACAUGCAAGUCGAACGCAUCACUUCGGUGGUGAGUGGCAGACGGGUGAGUAACACGUGGGAACGUACCCUUCGAUCUGGGAUAACUUCGGGAAACUGGAGCUAAUACCGGAUACGCCCUUUUGGGGAAAGGUUUACUGUCGAAGGAUCGGCCCGCGUCUGAUUAGCUAGUUGGUGGGGUAACGGCCUACCAAGGCGACGAUCAGUAGCUGGUCUGAGAGGAUGAUCAGCCACACUGGGACUGAGACACGGCCCAGACUCCUACGGGAGGCAGCAGUGGGGAAUAUUGGAUAAUGGGCGCAAGCCUGAUCCAGCCAUGCCGCGUGAGUGAUGAAGGCCUUAGGGUUGUAAAGCUCUUUUGUCCGGGACGAUAAUGACGGUACCGGAAGAAUAAGCCCCGGCUAACUUCGUG